GAUGAACGCUGGCGGCGUGCCUAAUACAUGCAAGUCGAGCGAACAGACGAGGAGCUUGCUCCUCUGACGUUAGCGGCGGACGGGUGAGUAACACGUGGAUAACCUACCUAUAAGACUGGGAUAACUUCGGGAAACCGGAGCUAAUACCGGAUAAUAUAUUGAACCGCAUGGUUCAAUAGUGAAAGACGGUUUUGCUGUCACUUAUAGAUGGAUCCGCGCCGCAUUAGCUAGUUGGUAAGGUAACGGCUUACCAAGGCAACGAUGCGUAGCCGACCUGAGAGGGUGGUCGGCCACACUGGAACUGAGACACGGUCCAAACUCCUACGGGAGGCAGCAGUAGGGAAUCUUCCGCAAUGGGCGAAAGCCUGACGGAGCAACGCCGCGUGAGUGAUGAAGGUCUUCGGAUCGUAAAACUCUGUUAUUAGGGAAGAACAAAUGUGUAAGUAACUAUGCACGUCUUGACGGUACCUAAUCAGAAAGCCACGGCUAACUACGUG
rnacentral:rRNA from 1 species